CAGUCGAGGGGUAUAGGUUUUCGGACCUAGAGACCGGCGCACGGGUGCGUAACGCGUAUGCAAUCUACCUUUUACAGAGGGAUAGCCCAGAGAAAUUUGGAUUAAUACCUCAUAGUAUUAUUGAAUGGCAUCAUUUAAUAAUUAAAGUCACAACGGUAAAAGAUGAGCAUGCGUCCCAUUAGCUAGUUGGUAAGGUAACGGCUUACCAAGGCAACGAUGGGUAGGGGUCCUGAGAGGGAGAUCCCCCACACUGGUACUGAGACACGGACCAGACUCCUACGGGAGGCAGCAGUGAGGAAUAUUGGUCAAUGGGCGCAAGCCUGAACCAGCCAUGCCGCGUGCAGGAUGAAGCAUCUAUGGUGUGUAAACUGCUUUUGUACGAGAAGAUACACUCCUACGUGUAGGAGCUUGACGGUAUCGUAAGAAUAAGGACCGGCUAACUCCGUGCCAGCAGCCGCGGUAAUACGGAGGGUCCAAGCGUUAUCCGGAAUCAUUGGGUUUAAAGGGUCCGUAGGCGGUUUUGUAAGUCAGUGGUGAAAGCCCAUCGCUCAACGGUGGAACGGCCAUUGAUACUGCAAGACUUGAAUUAUUGGGAAGUAACUAGAAUAUGUAGUGUAGCGGUGAAAUGCUUAGAGAUUACAUGGAAUACCAAUUGCGAAGGCAGGUUACUACCAAUAUAUUGACGCUGAUGGACGAAAGCGUGGGGAGCGA
rnacentral:rRNA from 1 species